rnacentral:rRNA from 1 species
UACGUAGGGUGCAAGCGUUAAUCGGAAUUACUGGGCGUAAAGCGUGCGCAGGCGGUUUUGUAAGUUUGUCGUGAAAGCCCCGGGCUCAACCUGGGAAUUGCGAUGAAGACUGCAAGGCUUGAAUCUGGCAGAGGGGGGUAGAAUUCCACGUGUAGCAGUGAAAUGCGUAGAGAUGUGGAGGAACACCGAUGGCGAAGGCAGCCCCCUGGGUCAAAAUUGACGCUCAUGCACGAAAGCGUGGGGGAGCAAACAGG